UUUGGUUUUUUUCUUUCUUAGUCUUUUCUAGUAUCGAAAUUACUAAAACUACCUAAAAUUCCUAGCCAUUCUUUUCUACUUUUCUCAUUUUUAUUAAUUUAUCUUGCCCUUCUCAGAAAUGCUAACAAAUGAAUCUGCAGAUGCAUCUGUGAGUUUCUUAAUCCCCUAUUAUCCACAUUAUGAAAUCAUUUUAAUAUGAAUGCUUCCAGUAUUUUCAGAGCUCUUUAGUUAUUGAAUUAUACUUUGGCAUUCUGUAUUAAGUACCUAUGUAAGUGUAAAAUUUGGACUCAGCUUCUGGAAGCCUUUUGAUUUCUUAGUUCAAAAGAAACUAAGAGAGAGAUCCUUAGUUCAGCCACAUGAUCAACAAUUACUGUAUAGUAAGAAGUUCCUAAAUUAUUGGUUGAUGGAUGCCUAGAAGUUUUCUUGCCAUUUCUCAGAAGUUCUCUAUUAAACAUACACACUCUCUCCCUCUCCCCCUCCCUCUUUCUCUGUCUCUGUCUCUGUCUCUCUCUCUCUCACACAUACACGGAGAUACACACAUAUUUCUAAGCUUCUAAUUCCAGUUCUGUAGGUUCUGGGCCAUUUUACUUUAGGCAAAUAACCUCAUGUCUCUGAGCCUGGUUAUUUUUAUCUGUAGAAUGAAGAUUACAAUGAUACCAGACGAUUCUGAAAACACCUAAGGAAAAAUGUGUUAAAUAACUUACUUUAUUUUAAAAAGUUAAGUACAAAAUUCCCUGAUGAUUCCAUAUGUAGCACCAAUAAAAGUAAUGUGGGGUUAGCCAUAUUAAGAUAAAAUAUUGGGCUACAGUCAUAUUAAAUGACAUUGUGGUGUCUAAACUUAUGGAACACUUCUGAGAUGGCUGAUAAAAAGUAAGGUGGUGAGUGACCUUUGAGUAGCAAAAGACAGGGAGAGAAAUGGCCUUUUCUCCAUUCUAUUGCGCCUCUAAGUAAAAUGCUUGGUAAUCAAGCUACAAAGCUAUAUGUCAUAUGGCUUCAGGCACCUACUGUGAUUUACCCUGUGAAGAUCAGAUUUUGCUGUGGAGAGGAUUCGUAAAAGUAACACACAUUUCAGGACCAUUGGCAACCACAAGUACCAACAAACUCCAAUUUGAAUUGAGGAACCUACUAUCAAAUGAUAGUAUCAUUUCCUUGUGAGUGUUUUGGGAAAAGGUGGAUAGGAAAUGUAUAAAAGUGAAUCCUUUGUUGACUGAAAUAACAAUUCACCAUUUUAAAGACAAAAUACAUUAAAGCUGUUAUAGCAUCUUGCAUUGAUAUUUCACUGUACUUUAGAUGCUGCCUGCAAUCAAUGUUUAUAAUUCCUGCCCUUUGAAACAGAAUUAUGAUGCUUGUGGUAUACAUUAAUCAUAUAAAAGAUGAAACACUGAAAAGAAGUUCAGCAUUAAAAGACAAUUUGCUUUGAUUUAUUCAGUGGAUUCUUCCAAAAAAGUAAUACUGCUUGUUGAAUUGGAGUUAGAGAUCCUUUCAAAGUUACUUAUUUUUUUCUUUAGCAUCAGUAUCAAUGGAAGUAAAGCAAAUUUACAUAUUCACUAAGGAAUACAGGCAUGGGGAGUUCCCGUUGUGGCUCAGUGGUUAUCGAAUCUGACUAGGAACCAAGAGGUUGCAGGUUCGAUCCCUGGCCUUGCUCAGUGGGUUAAGGAUCCAGCAUUGCCAUGAGCUGUGGUAUAGGUUGCAGAUGCAGCUCGGAUCCCGCGUUGCUGUGGCUCUGGCAUAGGCUGGCGGCUACAGCUCGGAUUAGACCCCUAGCCUGGGAAUCUCCACAUUGCUGUGGGAGCAGCCCAAGAAAUGGC
ensembl:lncRNA